rnacentral:rRNA from 1 species
CCCUUAGAUGUUCUGGGCCGCACGCGUGCUACACUGAGUGGAUCAGCGGGUCAGGUUGCGCGAAAGCGUUUCCUAAUCUUUAAAUCCGCUCGUGAUGGGGAUUGACGGUUGCAAUUUUCUGUCAUGAACGAGGAAUGCCUAGUAAACGCAAGUCAUCAGCUUGCAUUGAUUACGUCCCUGCCCUUUGUACACACCGCCCGUCGCUCCUACCGAUUGAAUGAUCCGAUGAAUAUCAUGGAUUGAGGAUGUAAGCAGGUUCGCCUGUCUUCAUCUUCGAGAAGUGAAGUAAAUCUUAUCAUUUAGAGGAAGGAGAAGUCGUAACA